GAGUUUGAUCGUGGCUCAGGAUGAACGCUGGCGGCGUGCCUAAUACAUGCAAGUCGAGCGAACAGACGAGGAGCUUGCUCCUCUGACGUUAGCGGCGGACGGGUGAGUAACACGUGGAUAACCUACCUAUAAGACUGGGAUAACUUCGGGAAACCGGAGCUAAUACCGAAUAAUAUAUUGAACCGCAUGGUUCAAUAGUGAAAAACGGUUUUGCUGUCACUUAUAGAUGGAUCCGCGCCGCAUUAGCUAGUUGGUAGGGUAACGGCUUACCAAGGCGACGAUGCGUAGCCGACCUGAGAGGGUGAUCGGCCACACUGGAACUGAGACACGGUCCAGACUCCUACGGGAGGCAGCAGUAGGGAAUCUUCCGCAAUGGGCGAAAGCCUGACGGAGCAACGCCGCGUGAGUGAUGAAGGUCUUCGGAUCGUAAAAACUCUGUUAUUAGGGAAGAACAAAAUGUGUAAGUAACUAUGCACGUCUUGACGGUACUAAUCAGAAAGCCACGGCUAACUACGUGCCAGCCG
rnacentral:rRNA from 1 species